GAGGUGGAGCAAAUCUCAAAAAGACCGUCCCAGUUCGGAUCGCAGGCUGCAACCCGCCUGCGUGAAGUUGGAAUCGCUAGUAAUCGCGGAUCAGCAUGCCGCGGUGAAUACGUUCCCGGGCCUUGUACACACCGCCCGUCACACCAUGAGAGUCGGGAACACCCGAAGUCCGUAGCCUAACCGCAAGGGGGGCGCGGCCGAAGGUGGGUUCGAUAAUUGGGGUGAAGUCGUAACAAGGUAAC
rnacentral:rRNA from 1 species